AUGGUCGAGCUCCACAAGGUGGCCGAACAGGCCAUGAAGGGCCUCAUAGUUCGGCUGUGGCCCAAGGAGGCCAUGCCUGGGAGCUACUUCGGCCUGGUGCGGCGGCUGGUGGAUGCGUGUCCCUGGGUUGAAGUCGUCAAGCACUCCGCCUGCAUUGAAGGUGCCCGUCGGUCCCUUGCCCGUGCAAAGGUGCACUGGGGCAGGAUGGACGCUGAGAAGCUUGUGACGGACGCGCCACCGACGGGCAAGGAGUAUCGCACGCCCGAGAUGUAUUAUAAGAGUGUCCUGAAGGGUGCCCGCAUGAUUGCGGGUGAGUGCUCCAAAGAUGUAAUAUUUGAGUAA
rnacentral:rRNA from 1 species